rnacentral:lncRNA from 1 species
AGAAAACCUCACGUGGCUCGGGGUGAGGGUCGGUUUUUGUCACCGUGAGCUGGCCUCUAAAAGACUUUUUAAGUCCCAAGUCUUCUUUUUCUUCUUAUUUUAAAUCCCUUUUUCCCCAGACCCUAUGUUUUCAACAUAAUCAUAACGGAUUCCCCGCACCCCUACGCCUUUACAGAGAUCCAGUAUGCUUUUUACUGCCUUAAAUGUUAAAGCGGUAACAGUAACGAUGUUGAGGCUCGUAAAUGUGUUUUGGGGUCAUAAUCUAAGGUAGUAUUUGCUGAAGAUUUUUCUUAAACUUGCUCAUAACCAUUUAGAGUGACAAACUUAAAAUACAUUGUAAGUAAAAAUCAACAUGACCCCUUUUAGGAAGAAAAACAAAGAUUUCAGUUAUUUACAUAGGAAUAAGGCAAACAAGAAUAGUUCUUUGAGGUACUUAAUUGUGAUUCACCAAGCUUUCAGUAUAGUCUGACCACUCUGCUAUUAGUCUAAUUUAAAGCAGCCUUAAAUAGUUACAUUUUACCAUGGCUUGCCACGUGAAAAUGAUUUUUAAAUCUUUUCAUCUGCUGUAGCUACCUCUGAAGAAAAGAUGAUGGCCCGGUGCGGUGGCUCACGCCUGUAAUCCCAGCACUUUGGGAGGCCGAGUCAGGCGGAUCACCUGAGGUAAGAGUUCGAGACCAGCCUGGCCAACAUGGUGAGACUCCCGUCUCUACUAAAGAUAUAAAAAUUAGCCAGGCUUGGUGGUGUGCACCUAUAAUCACAGCUACUUGGGAGGCUGAGGCAGGAGAAUUGCUUGAACCCGGGAGGAGGAGGUUGCAGUGAGCAGAAAUCGUGCCACUGCACUCCAGCCUGGGUAACAAAGUGAGACUGCAUCUCAGAAAAAACUAUAUAUAUAUAUAUAUAUAUUUUUUUUUUUAAAGGGGUAUUUUAGAAUAUGAUUAAGCCAAGGAACUAUUUGGACUGAGAAUCCAAUUUUUUUUUUUUUUUUUUUUUUUGAGAUGGAGUCUCACUCUGUCACCCAGGCUGGAGUGCAGUGGCACGAUCUCGGCUCACUGCAAGCUCCGCCUCCCGGGUUCAUGCCAUUCUGCCUCAGCCUCCCGAGUAGCUGGGACUACAGGCGCCGGCCACCACACCCAGCUAAUUUUUUGUAUUUUUUUUAGUAGAGAUGGGGGUUUCACCAUGUUAGCCAGGACGGUCUUGAUCUCCUGACCUCGUGAUCUGCCCAACUCGGCCUCCCAAAGUGCUAGGAUUACAGGCAUGAGCCACCACGCCCAGCCGAGAAUCCAAAUAAAAUGACACUUUAGUGUGACAGGCACUGUUCUAAUAUUUGCAAUAUUUAUUGUAAUCCUACCACCCACAUUGUAUAGAUGGAGCAGCAAUGGGCAACAGGCAGUUUAUGCGUAAUAAGCACAUAUAGACAUAUAUUCUUUUUUAAAGUUUUACCUUUUUUUGCACAAAAUGGUAAAAUACAAUAUGCCACCUUGCUUUUUUCACCUAAUACAGCUUGGUGAUCUUUUUUCAUGGUACCUUAGGGCCCAGCAGAGCAGGAUUGGAACCAGGGUAAUCUGUCAGAGAGCUAGUCCUAACCCUUACCAGCAGGUCGAGGCAGCCUGAUAUAAUGAAAAUAUCAGUGGCAUCGGUGUCAGAAAAUUAGGGAUUUAGUCCUCGCUCUUCUGCUUAGACCUAUGACAGCCCAGCAGUUCUGAGUACAUCUGUGAAAUGGGUUGCCUCUUUGUUCCUACUUAACACCUAUGUCACAAUUCUAAUAUGCAAUGACAUGAAAAGACAUGGGGGCUCUUUAUUAGUACAAAAGACAGUGUUUCUACAUGCUUUUUGGAGAAUGCCUGUCCUUAAUUGGUAUGCCUGUGACACCAACUUGAGUCAGUAGAGAAAAUAAACUCAUUGGUAUCUUUGUAAUUGUAAGCAUUUUUACGUAGGUAAUACAUGUACAUGGUAAGAAAUUGUACAGAGGUUAUACAAUGAAAUGUUACUCUCAUUUUAGCAGUGUAAAGAAAGUCUGAAGAAUACUCCAGGAAAAUUGAGGAAACUAAAGCUAUUUCUACUACUGGUCUCAUAAUUGCAAAGCCAGUGCCUACCAUGAUAAGUGCUCUCUUACUUGGUAUGAAGGAAAUGAUUUUCUUCCCUUGCUAUUUUUUUUAGUAAGUAUAUUAUUUUAUUGCUACAUUAGAAAUGAAAAUACACUCUGAGAAGCUGCAAAGGCAUGCAACUUCAUAAAGAUUAUGAAGCAAUGGAGACACUCAUAGAAGGUUAAAAUUGGCUUUUCCUGUAGGAGGUGCAAAGACUAUACACACACAGGUCAUCAAUGGUUAGAUUAUUGGCAGCAUCUGCCAUGUGGAAUUUAUGUGCCAAUGGGAAGAUUUUUGGUGUUUUGCUUUGUUUUGUUUUGUUUUGAGACGGAGUCUUAUUCUGUCACCCAGGCUAGAAUACAGUGGCAUGAUCUUGGCUCACUACAACCUCCGCCUCCCGGGUUCAAGUGAUUCACCCGCCUGAGACUUCCAUGUAGCUGGGAUUGCAGGCAUACACCACCAUGCCUAAUUCAUUUUUUUCUUUGUUUGUUUGAGAUGGAGUCUCACUCUGUCACCCAGGCUGGAGUGCAGUGUCAUGAUCUCAGCUCACUGCAACCUCCGCCUCCCGGGUUCAAGCGAUUCUCCUGCCUCAGUCUCCCGAGUAGCUGUGACUACAGACAUGUGCCACCACACCUGGCUAAUUUUUGUAUUUUUAAUAGAGACAGGGCUUAGCCAUGUUGGCCAGGGUGGUCUCGAACUCCUGACCUCAGGUGAUCCACCCACCUCAGCCUACCAAAGAUUACAGACGUGAGCCAUCAUGCCCAGCCCCCAUUAUAUGAUGUUUGAACACCGUAUUUCUCCUGCUGGAUAGUUUCCUUGGAAGAAAGCCUAUUUUUUUCUCCAGUGUUAGUUUUCUUCAAUUUUGACCUGUCAAACUUCACUUCUGACAAGUUUGGGUUUAUCACUCAUCUUGAUUAAAAGAAAGCCUGAAGGCUUGAAGACUCGUGAAACGCUGGGCUGAGACCAUACUGCUCACUCUGGACCAGAUUAGGGUUCCUGAGCAGAGCCCAGCAGUUGUAAGCCCAGUAGCAGGGCCCCCUCACUCAGUAUUCAUUUGUGAAUCCAUAUUUUAUAAAUCAUAUGAAUUUUCAGUAUUUCUUUGUCUUCAUAGGUGAUAUAGUUAACAGAGCACUUGACUAAGAGACAAGCUGGAAUAUAUUCGUAGUCCCACAUAAUUUCUUUAUCAGAGUGAUCUUGAAUAAAUCACACUUGAGCUCAUUAUUUCUUUUUUUUAUUUUUAUUUUUUGAGAUGGAGUCUCGCACUGUCACCCAGGCUGAAAUGCAGUGGUGCAAUCUCCGGUCACUGCAACCUCCGCCUCCUGGGUUCAAGUGAUUCUUCUGUCUCAACCUCCCAAGCAGCUGGGAUUACAGGCGCCCACCACCAUGCCUGGCUAAUUUUUUUGUAUUUUUAGUAGAGACGAGGUUUCACUAUGUUGGCCAGGCUGGUCUUGAACUCCUGACCUCAUGAUCUGCCCUCCUCGGCCUCCCAAAUUGCUGGGAUUACAGGCAUGAGCCACCACGCCUGGCCUGAGCUCAUUAUUUCAUAGUAAAAUAAUCUAACAUCUAUUUCAUAGAAUUGAUCAUAAGGAUUAAAUAAGAUAAUGGACCAGAUGAUGCAAACCAUUUUUACAAAUGUCAGCGCUCAUUAUACUUAGAAAAUAAUCAUUAGCGCUUUUAUUUUAUUUAUUUAUUUUUUUGAGACAGAGUCUUGCUCUGUUGCCCAGGCUGGAGUGCAGUGGCAUGAUCUCGGCUCACUGCAACCUCCACCUCCCAGAUUCAAACAAUUCUCCUGCCUCAGCCUCUGGAGUAGCUGGGAUUACGGGCACAUGCCACCACCCCUGGCUAAUUUUUGUAUUUUUAGUAGAGAUGGAGUUUCACCAUGUUGGCCAGGCUGUUCUCGAACUCCUGACCUCAGGAAAUCUGCCUGCUUUGGCCUCCCA